rnacentral:rRNA from 1 species
GACGAACGCUGGCGGCGUGCUUAACACAUGCAAGUCGAACGGAAAGGCCCUGCUUUUGUGGGGUGCUCGAGUGGCGAACGGGUGAGUAACACGUGAGUAACCUGCCCUUGACUUUGGGAUAACUUCAGGAAACUGGGGCUAAUACCGGAUAGGAGCUCCUGCUGCAUGGUGGGGGUUGGAAAGUUUCGGCGGUUGGGGAUGGACUCGCGGCUUAUCAGCUUGUUGGUGGGGUAGUGGCUUACCAAGGCCUUGACGGGUAGCCGGCCUGAGAGGGUGACCGGCCACAUUGGGACUGAGAUACGGCCCAGACUCCUACGGGAGGCAGCAGUGGGGAAUAUUGCACAAUGGGCGGAAGCCUGAUGCAGCAACGCCGCGUGCGGGAUGACGGCCUUCGGGUUGUAAACCGCCUUCGCCUGUGACGAAGCGUGAGUGACGGUAAUGGGUAAAGAAGCACCGGCUAACUACGUG